CGUGUAGGCGGUUCGGUAAGUCAGAUGUGAAAGCCCUGGGCUCAACCCAGGAAGUGCAUUUGAAACUACCAGACUUGAGUACGGGAGAGGAGGGGGGAAUUCCCGGUGUAGAGGUGAAAUUCGUAGAUAUCGGGAGGAAUACCAGUGGCGAAGGCGCCCCUCUGGACCGAUACUGACGCUGAGACGCGAAAGCGUGGGGAGCAAACAGGAUUAGAUACCCUGGUAGUCC
rnacentral:rRNA from 1 species